UCGCACCCCCUGCACCCCCCCCCCCCCCCCCCCUGGGUACUGGCUUUAUCAUAUUACUCCUUUUUCAAUUUUCACUAUAAGAAAAUGGAACAAAUUGACAAAUAAUAAUGUUUUCUUGUAUUACAAUCAUGGUCAUAUAUUACAUGGGCCUCGCUACUUAAUUUAGUCUCAUACACUAAAUGUUAUUAACAGAUACACUACAUAACCAGUUGUGUUAGGCGUUCAUCAUUUUCAUUUUCUUAUAGUCAACCUGAAAUAGGUGUAUACGAUCUUGGUUGAUACGUUGUAACCUUGGUUGUAACGUGUAUAUCAUAUAUAUAUAUUUUUUGUUGAAGAUUCUUGGAGAAAGUGACAUCGAAAAAGUAUGCAACGACGCGGCCGGGAUUGGCUCCAGAGAACUAUCAGACAGCAACAUGACGUCAUCAUCAGCAAAAUCACCCAACUCUACAUACGGGCCCCAACAGGCAAAGCUACACAGUGCGCAUUCGUGGUGUGCGGCCCAAGGUGACACUAAACCAUACCUUGAGAUCUUAUUGGGCAUCGUCCGAAUGAUCAAGUACAUCGCUACUCAGGGAAACCCGACCGCUGACCAGUUUGUGACUUCAUUUAGCCUAGAAUCGUCUGUCAUCCAGGACUUGUGGAUCACUUAUGUCGAGACAGGAGCGCGAAAAAUUGUAAGAACAUCGACCGAUACACAAAGCUCUUAAUAUUUUUGUUAAUGGCGCCAAAUACAUACAUAUACCGAUUUCCCUUGAAGGUUCGAAUUUUUAGGAGUCAACCGUAUGUCUCGCUCUAGUAUGGCAAUUAGACAAAAAAGCUUCGGUAUUGUGAGCGUGGAGAUUCUCGCGCUUCAUAUAUUUGCGUGCUUUUCAUGUAGUGUAUGCUUUGUGCGAAAAUAGAAGCGGCAAACAACCUGUUGUAGAAAAGCGCAAAAUGCGCGCGAAAAUUCUAUAACUUUGCGCUGAGCUUCGUUUAUACAAUAAACAUUUCUCUUUUGGAGG